GGGCGAAACAGGAUCGACGCAUGUGGUAAAGGCAGUAUUUUCGCUCGGUAUGGUACCCGCCGUUAUCGGGCCAUGUAGUAGUUGCAAAUGACAACACUGCUCCGGUCGCAAUCGCAGCCUAACGGCAGCGGGAGUAACCGAUCUUAAGCCCAGUCCGAUUGAGCUCGGGUUGGCGGGGUUCGGAACGCACCUGGCAACAGAAGCGUUCCACU
rnacentral:tmRNA from 1 species